rnacentral:lncRNA from 1 species
UUAUGAACCAUUGGAGUUUUUGAUCCCAAGUACAUGACUGAGGAUGGCUCUCAUGGAGCCACUACAUUACUUGCUCCCAUAGAUCAGAUGAAAAUGGACAUGAUAGCAUAAGGUGAUCUCUGGUCUCUAUGUGGUUCUGGCACAAUAUACAUUGCUGAUGAACACUCAGUCCCCAGCUUGCUAAUCUAUCUUUGGUUGGUAAUCUGUCUUGUAGAACCAACCACAAAUUGAAGACAGUUUUUGGUCUAGCAUAAUUCUUGAUGAUCAGAUUCUUCAUGGUACUCGUGGCUCUGGCACAGUAUACAUUGUUGAUCAACACUCAGUCCCCAGCUUGCUAAUCUAUCUUUGGUUGGUAAUCUACCUUAUAGAACCAGCCACAAAUUGAAGACAGCUUUUGGUCUAGCAUAAUUCUUGAUGAUCAGAUUCU